UCCGUGACGCAGCUAACGCAUUAAGUUCCCCCGCCCUGGGGAGUACGGCCGCAAGGCUAAAAACUCAAAGGAAUUGACGGGGACCCCGCACAAGCGGCGGAGCAUGCGGAUUAAUUUCGAUGCAACGCGAAGAACCUUACCAAGGCUUGACAUAUACGAGAACGGGCCAGAAAAUGGUCAACUCUUUGGACACUCGUAAACAGGUGGUGCAUGGUUGUCGUCAGCUCGUGUCGUGAGAUGUUGGGUUAAGUCCCGCAACGAGCGCAACCCUCGUUCUAUGUUGCCAGCACGUAAUGGUGGGAACUCAUGGGAUACUGCCGGGGUCAACUCGGAGGAAGGUGGGGAUGACGUCAAAUCAUCAUGCCCCUUAUGUCUUGGGCUUCACGCAUGCUUCAUUGGCCGGUACAAAGGGCUGCAAUACCGCGAGGUGGAGCGAAUCCCAAAAAGCCGGUCCCAGUUCGGAUUGAGGUCUGCAACUCGACCUCAUGAAGUUGGAGUCCCUAGUAAU
rnacentral:rRNA from 1 species